CCCAUCGUCUGACACGUAUAAUGACACAAAGGCCUCGUACAAAUGGUAAAUGUGUGAAGUUACCCAGAAGAAGGCUGAACCAUGGUUCUAUCGCAUAGGCAGUUGAGUCCCUGAGUUGCGCUUCAGGUAUAAGUUGUCCACGCUUCACUCUCACGCACUGGGGUGAGAUCUACCAUUUGAUCUUGAAAAUCUCCCUUAAUGUUCAGGGAAGGGAAACCAGGCAGGUUAUGCCUUUAAAGGGCUCGUGCCUUGUCCUUGAAAGAGCUCUUGCCCAGAUGUCAGACACUAGUCGCAACAGUCACAGCCCACCACCUGUCUCCGAGUUCCAAUGCGUCUUGAUCGCCACGCCGAUGAACAAGUAUGCCUUGCACCACGAUGCGCUAUAGGCUUCGAGCUGGGACCUCGUGGCGCAACGGAAGUGCGUCUGACUCCAGAUCAGAAGGUUCAAAUCAUGUCGGGGUCAUUCAAUGUGCUCUUUUUCACACAGACCCAUGAUUUAUUUUCUGUGCAGUCUAAUAAGGAUGCUGUUAUAUGGACUCCAAUCUCUAUGAUGACCACCCAUGUCUUUGUCAACUUCAUGCUAAAAGGUAACAAAGCUUAGGUAGCAACACUCUCACCUAGUAACCAUUAGUAACUUGACAACCUGCUGAAUGUUUACCCUUAGUUUGCCCAUUUUGCUUGCUGAACAAAACAUGCUGGAAAGAGGCACCUUAGAUGGUUUCACUGGACCUCUCAGAGGAUCUGGAGGGUACUACAACACCCAAACAGGGACUUGAACCCUGGACCCUCAGAUUAAAAGUCUGAUGCUCUACCGACUGAGCUAUCUGGGCUCGAGGAGCGAGAGCGCACUUUACCCUGGAGCUUGUAGGUCAGGCCUGUGG
ensembl:lncRNA